UUUCGGUUUUGUUUUAGUCUAGGGUUUCAAGGGAUUUAUCAAAUUUGAUGGCAUUUUGACAGCGCGGUCGAUAAGUAAGAAGAGAAGAAAGCCCUAAUCGGUCAAAGAACCCUCAGGACGCAACGACACAGGCUCCCCUCCUAUUCUGCAUGAUGAUCUUGGAGCCGCCUCCUUUCUGAGUCAAGUGGAGCACAAUGGAAAUCAGCAGUAUCUGUUGUUGGAAUGUCGCGCAUGAAUUCUCGUGCUCAGUGCUGCAGGCUUCAUCAUCUCUCAAGCCUUCAACAAAAAUGGCACUGACUGCAUCCCUGAGGCUGUUUGGUUCACGUUUUGCAGACUGUUCUUCUUCUCCUAGAUGGCAACACAUUGAACUACUUGGGAAAAAACAUCUCGAUCAACCUCAUCUUGGUCAUAAUCACUGAGGUCGUGCUUGUUAGAGGUGCUGAGUAGUAUAGAAUUACAAUGGGCUGGAUCUACAGGAUAAGCUUCACCCUGGAGGCCCAUUCAACCUUCUAGGGCUUGCGAACGAUCCUGACCCGGCAGCGAUCCUCAAGGUGAAGGAGAUAAAGAGUGGGUGGAUUGAUGGUACCAAACGAGCGGUCUCAGACAUUUUUUCCUCUGAUGGUGCUUUUAUGGACUAUUGAUAAG